rnacentral:piRNA from 1 species
UACAAGUGUUCACCAGAACAGACGUUGC